CUCCAAUAUAAAGAUAUGGAGGUGUGAAAAGCACCCUGAGUUGCUUCCAGAAAAGGAUGUUACGGCCGUGCUGCUCGACUUGGCGGCGGCACUGCCGUGCCUCCAGAUCAUAUUUUAAUCGUUUAACUAUUUCAGUUGAUUCCACAAUGAUUCCUUUGUUUCAAUGCUUGACAUAUUUCACUACUUUCACUUCCUUUCAUUUAAUAUCUAUGUUGUGUUCAAAUGCUUUAACACCUAGCAUAGUACUAGUUUCACUUUUUUCUGUAUUCUUCAUGUAUUCUUUCAUUCUUUCUUCUAAGUUAUGGUUGUAUAUUCAAUAUAUUUUUCUUCUCUUAUAUCAUUGACAUUUUGCAUAAUCUUUCCUAUUCAUAUUGUUUCAAAAUUAAAAAAAAAGAAUUAAGUGAAAUAAAUAUUAUAUUAACAUCUAAAAAGGC
rnacentral:lncRNA from 1 species